rnacentral:rRNA from 1 species
AAAUUGAAGAGUUUGAUCAUGGCUCAGAUUGAACGCUGGCGGCAGGCCUAACACAUGCAAGUCGAACGGUAACAGGAAGCAGCUUGCUGCUUYGCUGACGAGUGGCGGACGGGUGAGUAAUGUCUGGGAAACUGCCUGAUGGAGGGGGAUAACUACUGGAAACGGUGGCUAAUACCGCAUAACGUCGCAAGACCAAAGAGGGGGACCUUCGGGCCUCUUGCCAUCAGAUGUGCCCAGAUGGGAUUAGCU